rnacentral:rRNA from 1 species
CGCGUAGGCGGUCUGUUAAGUCAGAAGUGAAAUCUCCAGGGCUCAACCCGGAAACUGCUUUUGAUACUGAUAGACUUGAGUGUCGGAGAGGUAACUGGAAUUCCUGGUGUAGCGGUGACAUGCAUUGAUAUCAGGAGGAACACCCAUGGCGAAGGCAGGUUACUGGCCGACAACUGACGCUGAGGCGCGAAAGCGUGGGUAGCAAACAGAAUUAGAUACUCUGGUAGUCCACGCCCUAAACGAUGGAUACUAGACGUCAGGGGUAUCGACCCCUCUGGUGUCGCAGCUAACGCAAUAAGUAUCCCGCCUGGGGACUACGGCCGCAAGGUUGAA